GAUGAACGCUGGCGGCGUGCCUAAUACAUGCAAGUCGAGCGAACGGACGAGAAGCUUGCUUUUCUGAUGUUAGCGGCGGACGGGAGAGUAACACGUGGAUAACCUACCUAUAAGACUGGGAUAACUUUGGGAAACCGGAGCUAAUACCGGAUAAUAUUUUGAACCGCAUGGUUCAAAAGUGAAAGACGGUCUUGCUGUCACUUAUAGAUGGAUCCGCGCUGCAUUAGCUAGUUGGUAAGGUAACGGCUUACCAAGGCAACGAUGCAUAGCCGACCUGAGAGGGUGAUCGGCCACACUGGAACUGAGACACGGUCCAGACUCCUACGGGAGGCAGCAGUAGGGAAUCUUCCGCAAUGGGCGAAAGCCUGACGGAGCAACGCCGCGUGAGUGAUGAAGGUCUUCGGAUCGUAAAACUCUGUUAUUAGGGAAGAACAUAUGUGUAAGUAACUGUGCACAUCUUGACGGUACCUAAUCAGAAAGCCACGGCUAACUACGUG
rnacentral:rRNA from 1 species